AUGGACCCAGCAGUUGAUGGCUUGGCAAUAAUUCGCUGGUACUUCGUGACAAAUCCAGCUAGCAGGGCACGUCAAAUUGCCGCUAGCAACCUUUUUUUUCAAGCCACAGCCGUGCUGCCAACUCAAACCAACGCCACAGUCCCAACCUCAGCCACAGCCAAGCUACCAGCUCAUGCCUCAGCUCCAGCCUCAGCUAAAAUGUCCCCUUUUUGUGGAACCCGCCUGGCCUACAAAAUGCCCCCACCGAGAAAGCGAGGAGCCUGUCCACGUCCUGGCUCCCUGAAGUCAGGCUCUGGGGCCCCAGCCCAAACUCAUGCCUCAGCUCCGGCGUCAGACCAUGCCUCAGCUCCGGCCACAGACCAUGCCUCAGCCACAGCACAGCUACCAGCCCAUGCCUCAGCUCGAUUCCCAGCUCCUAUGUUGGCUGCCCAGCCGAUGCCAGCUGGGUCAUCCCCUUUGACGGCAUGGCCGACACCUGCCAGUGGCCUUCAGUCGGCGGCCCGGUCGACACCUGCCAGUGGCCUUCAUUCGGCGCCAGGACCGGCCGAGGCCUGCUCCUGCUCCGAGUCCUGUUCCUGCUCCUCGGUCGGAGGCCCGGCCGAGGCUUGUUCCUGCUCCUCGGUCGGAGGCCCGGCCGAGUCCCAUGCCAAGUCCUGCUCCUGCUCUGAGUCCAGUCCCAGCUCCUCGGUCGGAGGCCCGGCCGAGUCCAAGCCCCUCAGUCGGAGGCCCGGCCAAGGUCAUCUGCUGCCAGCGACCCUUCAUUGGCUCACAGGCCACCAGCUCCCUGCAAACCUCUGUUGGUGGUCCGGCCAAGACCCAGGAGGGUUUCCCAGCCAGCGAUCCGGCCUCAAGAGGGCUUCAGCCUUCGCCUCCGCCGCCGGCCUCCAGUGGGUCCCAGCCCACGUCUUCGCCGCCGGCCUCCAGUGGGUGCCAGCCCACACCUUCGUCGCCGGCCUCCAGAACGCCUUCGUCGCCGGCCUCCAGAACGCCUACGUCUUCGUCGCCGGCCUCCAGAACGCCUUCGUCGCCGGGCUCCAGAACGCCUUCGUCGCCGGCCUCCAGAACGCCCACGUCUUCGUCUUCGUCACCGGCCUCCAGAACGCCUACGUCUUCGUCUUCGUCGCCGGCCUCCAGAACGCCUACGUCUUCGUCGCGGACCUCCUGAACGCCUACGUCUUCGUCUUCGUCGCCGGCCUCCAGAACGCCUUCGUCUUCAUCGCUGGCCUCCAGAACGCCUACGUCUUCGUCGCCGACCUCCAGAACGCCUUCGGCUUCGUCCCCGGCCUCUAG
rnacentral:lncRNA from 1 species